rnacentral:rRNA from 1 species
AGAGUUUGAUCCUGGCUCAGGACGAACGCUGGCGGCGUGCUUAAUACAUGCAAGUCGAGCGGGCACCAUCAGGUGGCAACACUGGUGAAGUGCUAGCGGCGAACGGGUGAGUAACACGUGAGCAACCUGCCCCCAAGUCUGGGAUAACCCCGGGAAACCGGAGCUAAUACCGGAUGCCCUCGUCGGGCCGCAUGGUCUGACGAGGAAAGUUUUUCGCUUGGGGAGGGGCUCGCGGCCUAUCAGCUUGUUGGUGGGGUAACGGCCUACCAAGGCUUCGACGGGUAGCUGGUCUGAGAGGACGACCAGCCACACUGGGACUGAGACACGGCCCAGACUCCUACGGGAGGCAGCAGUAGGGAAUCUUGCGCAAUGGGCGAAAGCCUGACGCAGCAACGCCGCGUGGGGGAUGAAGGCUCUCGGGUCGUAAACCCCUUUCAGUGGGAACGAAAUUGACGGUACCCACAGAAGAAGGACCGGCCAACUACGUGCCAGCAGCCGCGGUAACACGUAGGGUCCGAGCGUUGUCCGGAUUUAUUGGGCGUAAAGGGCCCGUAGGCGGCUUGAUAAGUCGGGUGUGAAAACUCCAGGCUCAACCUGGAGACGCCACCCGAUACUGUCAUGGCUUGAGUCUGGUAGGGGAGUGCGGAAUUCCUGGUGUAGCGGUGAAAUGCAUAGAUAUCAGGAGGAACACCGGUGGCGAAGGCGGCACUCUGGGCCAGUACUGACGCUGAUGGGCGAAAGCGCGGGGAGCAAACAGGAUUAGAUACCCUGGUAGUCCACGCUGUAAACGAUGGCAACUAGAUGUGGGGGGUGUCGACUCCCCCU